CAGCAGCCGCGGGAAUACGUAGGGUGCAAGCGUUAAUCGGAAUUACUGGGCGUAAAGCGUGCGCAGGCGGUUAUAUAAGUCAGAUGUGAAAUCCCCGGGCUCAACCUGGGAACUGCGUUUGAGACUGUAUGGCUAGAGUGUGUCAGAAGGGGGUAGAAUUCCACGUGUAGCAGUGAAAUGCGUAGAUAUGUGAAGGAAUACCGAUGGCGAAGGCAGCCCCCUGGGAUAACACUGACGCUCAUGCACGAAAGCGUGGGGAGCAUACAGGAUUAGAUACCCCUGUAGUCCCUGUCUCUUAUAC
rnacentral:rRNA from 1 species